rnacentral:lncRNA from 1 species
AGCAGCACUCAAGCCGAGCAUCAGGGCAUGGCGGACCAGCUCAUCUCCACGGCCGUGCACGAGGAGCUGCCGGAGAACUACGUCCGGCCGGAGGCGCAGCGCCCGCGCCUCCACGAGGUGGUCUCCGACGCGCAGAUCCCCGUCGUGGACCUCGCCGACCCCGACCCCGCCGCGGUCGUCGCCAGCAUCGGCGAGGCCUGCACCACCCACGGCUUCUUUCAGGUGCUCAACCAUGGGGUGCCCGUGGAGCUGAUGGUCGCGAUGCUGGCGGUGGCGUACGAGUUCUUCCGGCUGCCGGCGGAGGAGAAGGCCAAGCUCUACUCCGACGACCCGGGCAAGAAGAUGCGCCUGUCCACCAGCUUCAACGUGCGCAAGGAGACCGUCCACAACUGGCGCGACUAUCUCCGCCUCCACUGCUACCCGCUGGAGCAGUACGUCCCCGACUGGCCGGCCAAUCCCCCAUCAUUCAGGUAACAAUCCGGCGUCAAGCACCCUCACGUUGCUCAGGAUCCUCCGUGCUCCAAGACUGACAGAGCAAGAGAGGAUUGUUUAAUUCACGAAUCACAAUGGCUAUUGAUUAGUUAUUCUGGAGCUCUGCACCCUCAUGUUUCAUGCCUUGAUCGCUAAUUUUCCUAGGGAAACGUACGCGCACUUUUUAAAUCCCUAAUUAAGCACGUAGCCCAAAGCAAAUUAUUGGUGCUCAUUUAUUCUAGUUUUUUUCCUUCCCCUGAAUCUGAAUAUGUUAAAGGUCACUUAGGUUCCCAAACUAUAAUUUUGCAUAAUCCUAUGUCAUUUGACCUUAAGUUUUUGCUAAGUGAUUCACCAGAGGUACGUCCAAUCUCUCCGGUUUGUGUUGAUCCGUCUGCUUAGCGUUGAGAGGACUUGAGCUGUACGCUUAACAAGUUCAAAACUAUUAAUAAAGUGCAAAUUAAUAGUUUGAAGUAUCGGAUUACAUCCAAAGCUGAGGUGCUGCUACUCUGUAACCCUUUUUUUCUCCAAGCUUCUGGAAUCACUUUUUGCUUCCUUUUUUAUUUCCCUCGUGAGACCGAUCACUGAACAGAUGCUUCAAGAGAAAAAAUUGAAAGUUUUUGUUUAAAGCAAAUUUGAAAGUGACUAACCACCAUGUGUACCUUGGACGGCUCUACCAUGUGGUGGACAUAUGCACAUGCACGCCGGUUUUUAAACCGUUCCUAGGACAGACAGAGCUCCUGCUGCCAGAAAAGAUAAGCUGAGCCAGCCUCUCCGCAAACAAGAACAAGGAAUGCUAAAAUUGUGUAGCAGUGGUCCAAGCUCCCUCCACUUGCCCACUACUCCGACCACUUUUUUUUUUUUUGAGGGUCAACGGGGGGGGGGGGAGAUCCCCACCUGAUUCCCUGUGUCCUGAGAGUUCCUGAGAGCUGUUCCUUUUUCUGGAGUGUGAUCACUACAACGACUAGUGGCACGGUGGAGUGUGACCUCCACCUGAGAGUUCCUGAGAGCUGUUCCUUUUUCUGUUGUUGUUGAUAUGAUGUUGCCCAUCCACACAUGUACAGGGAGAUCGUGAGCGCCUACUGCAGAGAGGUCCGGGCGCUGGGGUUCCGGCUGUACGAGGCGAUCUCGGCGAGCCUGGGGCUGGAGGAUGACUACGUGAAGAGGACGCUGGGCGAGCAGGAGCAGCACAUGGCGGUGAACUUCUACCCGAGGUGCCCGGCGCCGGAGCUCACCUACGGGCUCCCCGCGCACACCGACCCCAACGCCCUCACCAUCCUGCUCAUGGACCAGCAGGUGGCCGGCCUGCAGGUGCUCAACGACGGCCGCUGGAUCGCCGUCAACCCACGGCCCAACGCGCUCGUCAUCAACAUCGGGGACCAGCUGCAGGUACGAGCACGACUGGAUGGAUAUGAUCUUUUUUUCCUUCUGGCAACCACCUGAUUAACUGAAUGAUGAUCGAUCUGCACGACGUACGCGCAGGCGCUGAGCAACGGACGGUACAAGAGCGUGUGGCACCGCGCGGUGGUGAACUCCGACAGGCCGAGGAUGUCGGUGGCGUCGUUCCUGUGCCCCUGCAACGACGUGCGCAUCGGCCCCGCCGCGAAGCUCGUCGGCGAGGGAGCGCCGGCCGUCUACAGGGACUACACCUACGCCGAGUACUACGGCAAGUUCUGGAGCAGGAACCUGGACCAGGAGCACUGCCUCGAGCUCUUCAGAACCUAGCUAUCUAGCACCGGGGUCCACAUCGAUCGCCUUUUAGCCAUUUUGUGUUCGCCUAGCUAGCUAGAACACUGUUGAGUCGAAUGUCCGGGUUCGGCAUACAAGGCUCGGCACGGCUUUCGUGAGAAAAUAGCUCUGGCUCGUAUGGAAACUUAAUUUUUCUAGCUAGCUU